CUAUGUGUUGUUGGGUAGGGGAGCGUUCUGUAAGCCUGUGAAGGUGUACUGUGAGGUAUGCUGGAGGUAUCAGAAGUGCGAAUGCUGACAUAAGUAACGAUAAAGCGGGUGAAAAGCCCGCUCGCCGGAAGACCAAGGGUUCCUGUCCAACGUUAAUCGGGGCAGGGUGAGUCGACCCCUAAGGCGAGGCCGAAAGGCGUAGUCGAUGGGAAACAGGUUAAUAUUCCUGUACUUGGUGUUACUGCGAAGGGGGGACGGAGAAGGCUAUGUUGGCCGGGCGACGGUUGUCCCGGUUUAAGCGUGUAGGCUGGUUUUCCAGGCAAAUCCGGAAAAUCAAGGCUGAGGCGUGAUGACGAGGCACUACGGUGCUGAAGCAACAAAUGCCCUGCUUCCAGGAAAAGCCUCUAAGCAUCAGGUAACAUCAAAUCGUACCCCAAACCGACACAGGUGGUCAGGUAGAGAAUACCAAGGCGCUUGAGAGAACUCGGGUGAAGGAACUAGGCAAAAUGGUGCCGUAACUUCGGGAGAAGGCACGCUGAUAUGUAGGUGAAGUCCCUCGCGGAUGGAGCUGAAAUCAGUCGAAGAUACCAGCUGGCUGCAACUGUUUAUUAAAAACACAGCACUGUGCAAACACGAAAGUGGACGUAUACGGUGUGACGCCUGCCCGGUGCCGGAAGGUUAAUUGAUGGGGUUAGCGCAAGCGAAGCUCUUGAUCGAAGCCCCGGUAAACGGCGGCCGUAACUAUAACGGUCCUAAGGUAGCGAAAUUCCUUGUCGGGUAAGUUCCGACCUGCACGAAUGGCGUAAUGAUGGCCAGGCUGUCUCCACCCGAGACUCAGUGAAAUUGAACUCGCUGUGAAGAUGCAGUGUACCCGCGGCAAGACGGAAAGACCCCGUGAACCUUUACUAUAGCUUGACACUGAACAUUGAGCCUUGAUGUGUAGGAUAGGUGGGAGGCUUUGAAGUGUGGACGCCAGUCUGCAUGGAGCCGGCCUUGAAAUACCACCCUUUAAUGUUUGAUGUUCUAACGUUGACCCGUGAUCCGGGUUGCGGACAGUGUCUGGUGGGUAGUUUGACUGGGGCGGUCUCCUCCUAAAGAGUAACGGAGGAGCACGAAGGUUGGCUAAUCCUGGUCGGACAUCAGGAGGUUAGUGCAAUGGCAUAAGCCAGCUUGACUGCGAGCGUGACGGCGCGAGCAGGUGCGAAAGCAGGUCAUAGUGAUCCGGUGGUUCUGAAUGGAAGGGCCAUCGCUCAACGGAUAAAAGGUACUCCGGGGAUAACAGGCUGAUACCGCCCAAGAGUUCAUAUCGACGGCGGUGUUUGGCACCUCGAUGUCGGCUCAUCACAUCCUGGGGCUGAAGUAGGUCCCAAGGGUAUGGCUGUUCGCCAUUUAAAGUGGUACGCGAGCUGGGUUUAGAACGUCGUGAGACAGUUCGGUCCCUAUCUGCCGUGGGCGCUGGAGAACUGAGGGGGGCUGCUCCUAGUACGAGAGGACCGGAGUGGACGCAUCACUGGUGUUCGGGUUGUCAUGCCAAUGGCACUGCCCGGUAGCUAAAUGCGGAAGAGAUAAGUGCUGAAAGCAUCUAAGCACGAAACUUGCCCCGAGAUGAGUUCUCCCUGACUCCUUGAGAGUCCUGAAGGAACGUUGAAGACGACGACGUUGAUAGGCCGGGUGUGUAAGCGCAGCGAUGCGUUGAGCUAACCGGUACUAAUGAACCGUGAGGCUUAACCUU
rnacentral:rRNA from 1 species